rnacentral:snRNA from 1 species
AGCGUGGCCUAUCGAUCCUUUA